UGGGGAAUAUUGGACAAUGGGCGGAAGCCUGAUCCAGCAACGCCGCGUGAGGGAUGACGGCCUUCGGGUUGUAAACCUCUUUCAGCACAGACGAAGCUGUCCUUUGGGGUGGUGACGGUAUGUGCAGAAGAAGCACCGGCCAACUACGUGCCAGCAGCCGCGGUAAUACGUAGGGUGCGAGCGUUGUCCGGAAUUAUUGGGCGUAAAGGGCUCGUAGGCGGUUUGUCGCGUCGGGAGUGAAAACACCGGGCUUAACUCGGUGCUUGCUUUCGAUACGGGCAGACUAGAGGUAUGCAGGGGAGAACGGAAUUCCUGGUGUAGCGGUGAAAUGCGCAGAUAUCAGGAGGAACACCGGUGGCGAAGGCGGUUCUCUGGGCAUGUCCUGACGCUGAGGAGCGAAAGUGUGGGGAGCGAACAGG
rnacentral:rRNA from 1 species